UACGUAGGUGGCAAGCGUUGUCCGGAUUUACUGGGCGUAAAGAGCGCGCAGGCGGUCGUUCAAGUCGCGUGUGAAGGCCCCCGGCUCAACUGGGGAGGGUCACGCGAUACUGAUCGACUCGAAGGCAGGAGAGGGUAGUGGAAUUCCCGGUGUAGUGGUGAAAUGCGUAGAUAUCGGGAGGAACACCAGUGGCGAAGGCGACUUCCUGGCCUGUUCUUGACGCUGAGGUGCGAAAGCGUGGGGAGCAAACAGG
rnacentral:rRNA from 1 species